AAAGUCGUAACAAGGUUUCCGUAGGUGAACCUGCGGAAGGAUCAUUAUGAAUUUGAACUUGUGUGGCUGGCUGUUCGACUUUUUUUGUUGAACGCCCCUCGCAAUUCUUUUUCUGUGAACUGUUCUCGGGCUUUUAUCAAUUCAUUUUGAUAAAGGCUUGGGUUACUUUUUGUUUUCUUGUAUUAUUCCACUUUAUAUUUCGAGUAAUUCUUGCAAAAGAAUGAAACAAAUACAAAAACCAAGACAACUUUCAGCAAUGGAUCUCUUGGCUCUU
rnacentral:misc_RNA from 1 species